rnacentral:rRNA from 1 species
AACGGACGCUGGCGGCAGGCUUAACACAUGCAAGUCGAACGCCCCGCAAGGGGAGUGGCAGACGGGUGAGUAACGCGUGGGAACAUACCCUUUCCUGCGGAAUAGCUCUGGGAAACUGGAAUUAAUACCGCAUACGCCCUACGGGGGAAAGAUUUAUCGGGGAAGGAUUGGCCCGCGUUGGAUUAGCUAGUUGGUGGGGUAAAGGCCUACCAAGGCGACGAUCCAUAGCUGGUCUGAGAGGAUGAUCAGCCACAUUGGGACUGAGACACGGCCCAAACUCCUACGGGAGGCAGCAGUGGGGAAUAUUGGACAAUGGGCGCAAGCCUGAUCCAGCCAUGCCGCGUGAGUGAUUAAGGCCUUAGGGUUGUAAAGCUCUUUCAUCGAUGAAGAUAAUGACGGUAGUCGGAGAAGAAGCCCCGGCUAACUUCGUGCCAGCAGCCGCGGUAACAC